UGAACCUAGCGGCGAAUGGGUGAGUAACACGUGCUUAAUCUACCCUUUAGAUUGGAAUACCCAAUGGAAACAUUGGCUAAUGCCGGAUACGCAUGGAAUCGCAUGAUUCCGUUGUGAAAGGAGCCUUUAAAGCUCCGCUAGAGGAUGAGGGUGCGGAACAUUAGUUAGUUGGUAGGGUAAUGGCCUACCAAGACUAUGAUGUUUAGCCGGGUCGAGAGACUGAACGGCCACAUUGGGACUGAGAUACGGCCCAAACUCCUACGGGAGGCAGCAGUAGGGAAUAUUCCACAAUGAGCGAAAGCUUGAUGGAGCGACACAGCGUGCACGAUGAAGGUCUUCGGAUUGUAAAGUGCUGUUAUAGGGAAAGAACACCUGGUUGAGGAAAUGCUUCCAGGCUGACGGUACCCUGUCAGAAAGCGAUGGCUAACUAUGUGCCAGCAGCCGCGGUAAUACAUAGGUCGCAAGCGUUAUCCGGAAUUAUUGGGCGUAAAGCGUUCGUAGGCUGUUUAUUAAGUCUGGAGUCAAAUCCCAGGGCUCAACCCUGGCUCGCUUUGGAUACUGGUAAACUAGAGUUAGAUAGAGGUAAGCGGAAUUCCAUGUGAAGCGGUGAAAUGCGUAGAUAUAUGGAAGAACACCAAAGGCGAAGGCAGCUUACUGGGUCUAUACUGACGCUGAGGGACGAAAGCGUGGGGAGCAAACAGGAUUAGAUACCCUGGUAGUCCACGCCGUAAACGAUGAUCAUUAGUCGGUGGAGAGUUCACUGACGCAGCUAACGCAUUAAAUGAUCCGCCUGAGUAGUAUGCUCGCAAGAGUGAAACUUAAAGGAAUUGACGGGGACCCGCACAAGCGGUGGAGCAUGUGGUUUAAUUUGAAGAUACGCGGAGAACCUUACCCACUCUUGACAUCCUUCGCAAUGCUAUAGAGAUAUAGCGGAGGUUAACGGAGUGACAGAUGGUGCAUGGUUGUCGUCAGCUCGUGUCGUGAGAUGUUUGGUCAAGUCCUGCAACGAGCGCAACCCCUAUCUUUAGUUACUAACGAGUCAUGUCGAGGACUCUAGAGAUACUGCCUGGGUAACUGGGAGGAAGGUGGGGAUGACGUCAAAUCAUCAUGCCUCUUACGAGUGGGGCAACACACGUGCUACAAUGGUCGGUACAAAGAGAAGCAAUAUGGCGACAUGGAGCAAAUCUCAAAAAGCCGAUCUCAGUUCGGAUUGGAGUCUGCAAUUCGACUCCAUGAAGUCGGAAUCGCUAGUAAUCGCAGAUCAGCUACGCUGCGGUGAAUACGUUCUCGGGUCUUGUACACACCGCCCGUCACACCAUGGGAGCUGGUAAUACCCAAAGUCGGUUAGCUAACCUCGG
rnacentral:rRNA from 2 species